GUCUGGUAUAAGCUGUUCCAUUCAUGAAGAUGGUUUGGCAGCAAUUGGUUCAGGUUUUGCCACAAGGCUUAAAAUUCUCAACCUUCGGAUGUGCAGAACUGUUGGUGACCACUCCAUCAUGGCAAUAGCAAGGGGUUGCCCAUUGCUCCAAGAAUGGAAUUUGGCAUUAUGUCAUUCAGUCAUGAUUUCAGGAUGGAAGUCUAUAGGGUCCAAUUGCAAAAAAUUGGAGAAACUUCAUGUGAAUCGCUGCCGGAAUUUGUCUGAUCAUGGACUGCAGGCUCUGAGAGAAGGGUGCAAAAGGCUCUCAGUUUUAUAUAUUAGCAAGUGUUGUCGAUUAUCUUCUACUGCAAUAGAGUUGUUCAAAUUGUAUAGAGGUAAUGUUGAGAUCAGGGAAGAAGAGAUCAUGUGUGUGGGACCUGACUGGACAAUUUGAUAAUGAUGGGUGAUACUUAAACCCUCUAAACUGAUAUGAAAUACCCAUGA
rnacentral:misc_RNA from 1 species